GAUGAACGCUGGCGGCGUGCUUAACACAUGCAAGUCGAACGAAGCAUUUGCGACAGAUUUUUUCGGAAUGAAGUUGCUUAUGACUGAGUGGCGGACGGGUGAGUAACGCGUGGGUAACCUGCCUUGUACUGGGGGAUAGCAGCUGGAAACGGCUGGUAAUACCGCAUAAGCGCACAAUGUUUCAUGACAUGGUGUGAAAAACUCCGGUGGUAUAAGAUGGACCCGCGUCUGAUUAGCUAGUUGGUGAGAUAACAGCCCACCAAGGCGACGAUCAGUAGCCGACCUGAGAGGGUGACCGGCCACAGUGGGACUGAGACACGGCCCAGACUCCUACGGGAGGCAGCAGUGGGGAAUAUUGCACAAUGGAGGAAACUCUGAUGCAGCGACGCCGCGUGAGUGAAGAAGUAAUUCGUUAUGUAAAGCUCUAUCAGCAGGGAAGAUAGUGACGGUACCUGACUAAGAAGCGCCGGCUAAAUACGUG
rnacentral:rRNA from 1 species